CUCAUUAAAUCAGUUAUAGUUUAUUUGAUGGUCUCUUUGUUCCUCUUUUUACCUACUUGGAUAACCGCGGUAAUUCUAGAGCUAAUACAUGCGCAAGGUCCCGAGCGCGGGGGGCGGGGCUUCGCGGCCUCGUCCUCGCAUGCGCAGAGGGAUGUAUUUAUUAGGUUAAAAACCAGCACGCUGGCGACAGCGUCCAAUUCACUGGUGAUUCAUAGUAACUCUUUCGGAUCGCAUUCAUG
rnacentral:rRNA from 1 species